rnacentral:rRNA from 1 species
AUGCAGCCGCUAGUGGAUGCUUUGCACCAUUCUUGGUACUUUCCGACGUUGACAUACGACCGGGAUCUGCAGAGAAAUUUCUUGAUGAAAGUUUGGUUGCACUAUUGCAUGCAUGACUUUCCCGGCUAUGCUCUAUUCUGCGGAUGGUGUACAAGUGGGAAGAUGCCAUGCCCAGUGUGCAUGCAGGCUCUGCAAAUGAUUUGGCUGAGUAAGGGUGGCAAGUAUGUAGCCUUUGACUUGCAUCGACAGUUCUCCCUCCAGACCAUCCAGACAGGGAAGACAAGAAGAACUUUACGAAAGGUCGGGUUGUUCAUGAAGUAA